GUGAGGAAUUUUCCGCAAUGGGCGAAAGCCUGACGGAGCAAUGCCGCGUGAAGGAUGAAGGCCUAUGGGUUGUAAACUUCUUUUCUCAGAAAAGAAUUAUGACGGUAUCUGAGGAAUAAGCAUCGGCUAACUCUGUGCCAGCAGCCGCGGUAAGACAGAGGAUGCAAGCGUUAUCCGGAAUGAUUGGGCGUAAAGCGUCUGUAGGUUGUUUAAAAAGUAUUCUGUCAAAGAUUAGGGCUUAACCCUAGAUAGGCAGAAUAAACUUUUAAGCUAGAGUUUGGUAGAGGCAGAGGGAAUUACCGGUGGAGCGGUGAAAUGCGUAGAUAUCGGGAGGAACACCAAAGGCGAAGGCACUCUGCUGGGCCAAUACUAACACUGAGAGACGAAAGCGAGGGGAGCAAAUGGGAUUAGAUACCCCAGUAGUCC
rnacentral:rRNA from 1 species